ACGAAGGUCCCAAGCGUUGUUCGGAAUCACUGGGCGUAAAGGGUGCGUAGGCGGUUAGGUAAGUCAGAUGUGAAAUCCCGGGGCUCAGCCCCGGAACUGCAUCCGAUACUGCUUGACUUGAGGACUGGAGAGGUGACUGGAAUUCUCGGUGUAGCAGUGAAAUGCGUGGAGAUCGAGAGGAACACUCGUGGCGUAAGCGAGUCACUGGACAGUAUCUGACGCUGAGGCACGAAGGCCAGGGUAGCAAACGGGA
rnacentral:rRNA from 1 species